GACAGAGGGUGCAAACGUUGUUCGGAAUUACUGGGCGUAAAAGCGCGUGUAGGCUGCUCAGAAAGUCGGAUGUGAAAGCCCUGGGCUUAACCUAGGAAGUGCAUUCGAAACUUCUGAGCUGGAGUUCUGGAGAGGAAGGCGGAAUUCUCGGUGUAGAGGUGAAAUUCGUAGAUAUCGAGAGGAACACCGGUGGCGAAGGCGGCCUUCUGGACAGUGACUGACGCUGAGACGCGAAAGCGUGGGGAGCAAACAGG
rnacentral:rRNA from 1 species